GGUGAGAGUGGUCCCACCAGGACAGAGCCCAGCCCCCCAGAAGAACCAGCCCAGUGACCCUGCAAACACAACUGUACAUAGGAUCUGCUCUCAGACACCUCCACGCUUGGUUUGUCCAUCACCAAUAAAACUGUUGGUUUUUUAUGUCCUUCUGGGUCCUGAGUGCAGCCGUGUUUCCCUCUGGGAUGGACCAUCCUGACCUACACUUGGUGUUUGAUGCUGCUUGAGGUGCACUGGGGUGUCCAAAACAUCUGAACAAGGCUGACAGGAAAGGCCAUGGCAGGAUCCAUACUUUCAAGGAGAUAAAUCCAAGACAGAGGUAUGAUUUGUCCUCCAGAAGUGCGUCUUCCUCUCCCACAGAAAAGACAAGGUGAACCAGGGUAUAUAACUCACAUUAUCCAACCUGAUCUAGCAGAAGAUGUUCCUGCUCGUUGCAGGGGGUUUGGACUAAAUGACUUCUAAAGGUCUCUUGUGACCCAAAUAGAUGCCACUCACAUCACAUGAGGGACAUCACUGCCUCUUUUCCUGCAUGUGCUGAUCUACUGAGUGGAAUUAUGAAUGGGAAUGGGCCAAGGCCAAGUUCACUUACAGCAGCUCCUCAACAGGGAGUAAAUGUUGUUGACUGUGGAGCUAAGAAGGAAGAGGAAUUGCCUGUUGUGAUGUGGUCUGGAGCAGGACCCCAGAAGCAAGUCUUCACCUUGGAGGUGGUGAGGUGGCAAGGAGGUGGUGUAGGGUGAGCAACAAUAGAGAUGUCUUGAAGGUGUGAGGAGAGAGAUGGCUUGACAGGAUAUGAAAGUCUCCCAGAGAGAAAAGUUGGAAGAUUCCUUUCUGGAAAACAUACAGUAUAUGGUAUCUAGGACAUGCAAGCAAUGAAGUGGACUUAAUUCCCAACCUAAAACCUCCAGCUACACACGUGGCUUCAGCCUAAACCCACUCUGCUAUCUAAGCCAGGGGGACUAGUCUUGUCCUGAAGGAAACAGGGAAACCAGUAAAACCAGCUGACAGUUGUCAGCCAGUGGAGAUCUAUCCCAUCUCUGCCUGGACUGUGAGCAGGGAAAGAUUCCCUCACUCCUCCUGAACCAGUGAGGGACUGGGCUCCUGUGGGUUCCGUGCUGAAAUAGCCCAUCCUUGCUCCCAGAUCUGCAGGUUGCAAAUACGGCGGCAAUUCCUUCAUGCAGUCCCCUCUCCUGGAUGCUCCUCCUCUCCGUUGAGGGACGGUCCUGCUCCACGGGGCCCUCGGAGAGCUCAGCCAGAGGUUAGCAGCCACUCCGGCUCACAGGAGCCAUCAUUCCCAUCGGGAGAUAAGGCUCCCCUUGAUAACAAGACCUGCCAGAAACGAGCCUCUAGUUUUUCCACCUUUUUGAAGUCUCUCCGGUGAAGUUUUGCAGAACCUUGUCUCUUUGCCAAAGUAACCAACUUCCAGCUCCAGCCUUUGCCUUCCCUCCUUUUCCCCGACCUCCUCCCCCUGCCUUCCCUCUUCCUCCUCGCUCCUCCGUGCACACGCCUCUCCGUGGGGCUGAUAGAGAUGCUGGAGGGGGUGGACACAACGAGGGGAUGAUGUCAUCUGUUUUUGGCCCUUCAGAGGAGCAGGCGCUGCCGCAGGAGGAGGCAGGGGUUAGACACGUCUGCCUCUACCCAGCCUGGCGCCGGGAGCAACUGGGAGCCUUCCCUUGGCAGCCGCCCCUGUGCCUUAUCAGGGGCAGGAUGACACCUCGGGGACGGGAUGCCGGGGCUGCAAAGGGAAAGGAGGCGGGGAGCCUCUGAAUGUGAGCCUUGUGAGAGGCGUGGACGCCUGGGUGUGCACAGGGCUGUGUGUGUGUGUGUGUUUGAGCUCACUGGAAGCAGGGAAAUCGCUCCCAGCAGGAUGGAGCCGGCUAUCAGCCGCCGGAGAAGCAAAGAAAACGACUCUGUGCCAGAGCCCAGCUGAGUCAAGGGCGAUGCUGUCACCCAGCUCCGCUCCUGUCGAGGCCUGGGAAAGUUUAACCUUUCAUAUCCCAGGCAGACAACCUGGAAAAUCCUGUGCGACCAUCUGAAAAGUGUUAGAAGAUCCUCCUUGCCAUCAAAGGAAGAGGUCAGGGCAGAGGGAGGGAAGUGAAUCGAUCUGUCCCACACCCAAAGCUUGAGAUCAGGAGAGAUCUCAAGCAGAGCUGGGUACAAGUUUACCAUGGAAAUGGUUUUGAGAUGGAGCACUGUGUUCCUCUCCAGAAGAUUUUGGCAAUUUUUUUUUUCCCACUUGAAAUGGCCAACCUUCAUUCCCCUUAAAACA